CCAAUGACCAGGUCUUCCCCCCCUUCCCCUAGCUGUACCCCAUUCUGGCUCUUCCCCACCGCGGUUCUACGCCUGUGGGCAUCCAGAAAGCUCUUCCUACGGACUCCUUAGCCUUGCGUGACCACCUCGCCUCCUCCUACCCAUCCCCCCCGCCCCAGCCAGCUUUCUAAAGCACACACCUUUCUGUGUCACUAAAAAACCCACAAUGGCACACAAUGGAAUAUUAUUCGGCCAUAAAAAGGAAUAAAGUAGGGCUACGUGCCACAACAUGGAUGAACCUCGACGACAUUGUGCUUAUGAAAGAAGCCAGACACAAAAGGCUACACAGUGUGUGCUUCCAUUUAUAGAACAGUGUCCAGCAGAGCCGUCGAUACAGACAGGAGCAGGUUAGUGAUUGCCAAGGACCGGGGAGAGCAGAGAAUGGGGGGGGUGACAGCUAAUGGGUAACAGGGUUUCUUUUUGAGGUGAUGAACGUGUUCUAAAAUUGUGGUCAUGGUUGCAAUUCUGGGCAUACACUAAAAAUCACUGAACUGUACAACUUAAAUAGCUGAAUUCUAUAGAACGUGAGCGAUGUCACAAUACAACAGCUGUUUUAAAAAAAUCUGCAACAGCGCUCCAAACGCCUCAAGAUCUCCAGAACCCCAGCGCGGGCGCCUGCCCCUCUCCCAGUGCCCACCACGCCCAGCCUCAUCUCUGCUGCUCCACACUGUCAACUACGUAUGGUCCCUGCCCAGGUCCAGCUCCUCUGUCCGUCCUGUCCUCACUCCUGUUGUCAUCAAACUCCUACGACACUUUAAGACUUGGUGCAGGUACCACCUCCUCCAGGAAGCCUUCCCUAAGCCACCAUCCAGGUCAUCCCAGGAGACUGCCUACUAUGGUGACAACACAUCUUACUUUUCAGACUGGAAGUCCCGUGUCCCAGAAAUGGCCUCAGUCUCUAGUGUCUGCUGUACUAUCUCCGUUCACUCCGGGCCCGCCACUUGCUGUGUGCUAAGCCCUGGGGAUGCAGAGACAGGGAAGCUGUGGUCCUUGCCUCCAGGCGCGUGGGUCCAGUUGGAGAGCUGCUCAAAGACACUUCCACGGCUCCCUGGUGCCUGUGGCAAGCCCAGCCUUCUUUGGCCUCUCCUCUACGGACCACCUUGCCAGCCUGUGCCCUCAGAACCUCCGAGCGGCAGCCUGGGCCCGGCCGCAGGAGGGUGA
rnacentral:lncRNA from 1 species